UUGUCUCAAAGAUUAAGCCAUGCAUGUCUCAGUACAAGCCGCAUUAAGGUGAAACCGCGAAAGGCUCAUUAAAUCAGUUAUGGUUCCUUAGAUCGUACCCACAUUUACUUGGAUAACUGUGGUAAUUCUAGAGCUAAUACAUGCAAACAGAGUUCCGACCGGAGACGGGAGGAAUGCUUUUAUUAGAUCAAAACCAAUCGGCGGCGGGCGUGUUCGCGCGCGCCCGUUCGCCGCUCAACCUGGUGACUCUGAAUAACUUUCGGCUGAUCGCACGGUCCAGCACCGGCGACGCAUCUUUCAAAUGUCUGCCUUAUCAACUGUCGAUGGUAGGUUCUGCGCCUACCAUGGUCGUAACGGGUAACGGGGAAUCAGGGUUCGAUUCCGGAGAGGGAGCCUGAGAAACGGCUACCACAUCCAAGGAAGGCAGCAGGCGCGCAAAUUACCCACUCCCGGCACGGGGAGGUAGUGACGAAAAAUAACGAUACGGGACUCAUCCGAGGCCCCGUAAUCGGAAUGAGUACACUUUAAAUCCUUUAACGAGGAUCAAUUGGAGGGCAAGUCUGGUGCCAGCAGCCGCGGUAAUUCCAGCUCCAAUAGCGUA
rnacentral:rRNA from 1 species